AUAGAUACCCGGGUAGUCCAUGCCGUAAACGUUGGGCACUAGGUGUGGGGGACAUUCCACGUUUUCCGCGCCGUAGCUAACGCAUUAAGUGCCCCGCCUGGGGAGUACGGCCGCAAGGCUAAAACUCAAAGGAAUUGACUGGGGCCCGCACAAGCGGCGGAGCAUGCGGAUUAAUUCGAUGCAACGCGAAGAACCUUACCAAGGCUUGACAUGAACCGGAAACGCCUGGAAACAGGUGCCCCACUUGUGGUCGGUUUACAGGUGGUGCAUGGAUGUCGUCAGCUCGUGUCGUGAGAUGUUGGGUUAAGUCCCGCAACGAGCGCAACCCUCGUUCUAUGUUGCCAGCACGUGAUGGUGGGGACUCAUAGGAGACUGCCGGGGUCAACUCGGAGGAAGGUGGGGACGACGUCAAAUCAUCAUGCCCCUUAUGUCUUGGGCUUCACGCAUGCUACAAUGGCCGGUACAAAGGGUUGCGAUACUGUGAGGUGGAGCUAAUCCCAAAAAGCCGGUCUCAGUUCGGAUUGGGGUCUGCAACUGACCCC
rnacentral:rRNA from 1 species